rnacentral:rRNA from 1 species
AUUGAACGCUGGCGGCAUGCUUUACACAUGCAAGUUGAACGGUAACAGGCCUUCGGGUGCUGACGAGUGGCGAACGGGUGAGUAAUGCAUCGGAACGUACCCAGAGGUGGGGGAUAACGCAGCGAAAGCUGUGCUAAUACCGCAUGUGAUCUGAGGAUGAAAGCGGGGGACCGAGCAGCAAUGUUUGGCCUCGCGCCUUUGGAGCGGCCGAUGUCGGAUUAGCUAGUUGGUGGGGUAAAGGCCUACCAAGGCGACGAUCCGUAGCUGGUCUGAGAGGACGACCAGCCACACUGGGACUGAGACACGGCCCAGACUCCUACGGGAGGCAGCAGUGGGGAAUUUUGGACAAUGGGCGCAAGCCUGAUCCAGCAAUGCCGCGUGCGGGAAGAAGGCCUUCGGGUUGUAAACCGCUUUUGGCAGGAACGAAACGGUGUCCGCUAAUACCGGGCGCUAAUGACGGUACCUGCAGAAUAAGCACCGGCUAACUACGUG